rfam:Stegodyphus mimosarum contig42814, whole genome shotgun sequence.
GCCUUCGUGGUGUAAUGGUCAGCACACUGAGCCGGUAUUUCAGAGGUCCGCGGUUCGAUUCCCGGUGAAGGCG